CUGAGUUGCAGUAUUAUUAAACCUAAUCAAGAAUAUCUUGGCUCCUAUUCUUGUUAUUAUAGAAUCGGGAGUAUGUUGAAGAACAGUUAUGAUGUUUGCGGUGACUUAGUAACAACUUGGUCAGUCCAUCUACCUAGCGUAUAGUGACAAGUUCCAAAUGGUAUUUACCAUCUCCAUACAGAGAGGUCUAUAACCGACUUGCCUUAUGGAAUCUACUGACAGUUGAAUGAAAGGGUAUUGAUGAUUGGUUGAUGUGAAUCAAUGAUGUUGCUGGUAGUUUUUCUGUUUUGAUUGUUGACUCCUUGGAUCAGUUUAUGUACAUUUUUAAGUAAUAUGAAAUUAAUCAUAAGUCAAAUGUUCAAACUGUUCAA